rnacentral:rRNA from 1 species
UACAGAGGGGGCAAGCGUUGUUCGGAAUUACUGGGCGUAAAGGGCGCGUAGGCGGCCUUCUAAGUCGAACGUGAAAUCCCCGGGCUCAACCCGGGAACUGCGUCCGAUACUGGAAGGCUUGAAUCCGGGAGAGGGAUGCGGAAUUCCAGGUGUAGCGGUGAAAUGCGUAGAUAUCUGGAGGAACACCUGUGGCGAAAGCGGCUCACUGGACCACAACUGACGCUGAGGCGCGAAAGCUAGGGGAGCAAACAGG